rnacentral:lncRNA from 1 species
UGGAUAUGUUAUCUAUCCUCAGGUUUGUAGCUUUUUUGUUAGACAUCAUCUUGUUGAGACGGGGUGGCUUUCUUGAUGAGUAGAUUACCCUUUUUUUGUCUGGAACCCUAACAUUGCUGGGCAUUAUGCCAACUUAGAUUCUAACUAUUUAUGACCAUGCAUUCAAGGUUCAACUAUGCAAAUCACAACUAUUAAACAAAAAGACAUAGCAGAUUUGCUUUUUAAACGUAUUACAUAGCUCACAAGGUCAACACAUUUGUUUUCUCCAUUUUAAAAUAUAGUUUUGUCAGUAAUGAUCAGUAGUGAUUGAAGAGAUCAUCACCUUUUAACAUUUUAUUUAGACUGAGUCAGAUAGAACAUAAACAUCUUUUCCCUCCUAUGCUAGAAAAAUAAUCAUAUGGAGUACAGCAAAAAAAAAGAGAUUUGGGCUGAAGUAAGAGAGAGAGAGAGAAAUGCCUGUGAAACGCCUAGAUUCCCUGUAUCGUACUAAUAUAUAGUCUUUAAGGGGUGCAGUUCCACCAUUAUAGGAAACUAUACAUGAAUGCCAGGCCCAAAUCUGUCCUCAGCCUAUAGGCAGGACAGCACCACAACCCCUCAGUGGCUGCUAUUUCAGUUUUUAGGCUACAGUAGGAGCCAUGAUCCCAGCAAAGCCCCUCUCCAGGAGUUUAUGUGGAUCUACAUUCAUUUAGUAGGCAUAAUCACAUAGUCCAGAGUUAUUGUCCUGACCCAACCCCAGCCACUACCAUCCCUAUAGUGGAUUCCAGCUCUACUGCAUGUAAGAAUCUACGUUCUCAUAUGUUACGAGCACACUACAGCUUCUAUGCCCUGAGUGCAUUCUGUUCUAUUCAGCUUAGGUUCUACCAUAUCCAUCCCUCAUGACAUCUGAACAGCACCCUAAAUGAAAAUAUACACACCACAAUUUUAUGGUAGAAAACUCUCCAGUGGUGUCAACACGGAUGCAUGGUUGUAUAUGAAAGCACAGUCUGACCAGUUUUGCAGGAUAUGUUCCAUCAUCUUUUUGAAGUAUACCCUCCCAAGAACACAGAUGACAGUGAAAUCUAUUCCAAGCGUUGUCAUGCACCCUUUCAUUAGAACACCCAUAUUCAGUAAGAUAUUUACAAUUCCUUGUGAAUCGUGUCAAUAAUCUAUAACAGUUUGCCAUUAGUCUUCAAGGGCCUGAUCUGGGACAUGAGUAAGUCCCACUGACUUGAAAGGAGUUUUAUGCAUGGAGAACAUGUAGGUUAAAAGAUAAUGUUAACAAAACCUAACAUAAUAGAACUGUGUUAGUUAAAGUAUUUGUUAAAAUAAUGUUGAUGUAAACAAUUUUGUCUGGAUUUAAAUAUUCCCUGCAGUGUUUGGAAUCCAGAUAUUUUGUAGUAUUGUGCAUUAUGAUUAUAAACAAAAGAGAAAAUGACUAGUCUAUAUUUACUUUGUGGAGUUGAAAUGCAAAAAGUGAAAUGGUGGGAAAAAAAUUAUUUAUUCAUAACUGUUUCAGUUUUAAUCAUCUAAAAUGUUGUUAGUAAGAAAUUGAUUUUUAGAUAUGAUUUUUAACCUGACAGUUUUCCUUUCAGUUGUUUUUAAUCAUUUCACUUAUACAUAUAACAGUGUAUUUCCACAUUGUAUUUCAUCUUCUUACUGAAAGGUUUGUUUACAUAAUUGAAUCAACCAUAAUUUUAAGUGUAUUUUUGGCACAUUCCAUAGCUAACAAAAAGAAGUCAUUUAAAGAAAAAGAACAAACUAUAACAGGGCUGGAAACAUUAUUUUAAGGACUGCAAGAUCUGGCCCA